CAGGAGCUGGUGUGUACUGGAGACAC
rnacentral:piRNA from 1 species